UACGAAGGGGGCUAGCGUUGCUCGGAAUUACUGGGCGUAAAGCGCACGUAGGCGGCUUUCUAAGUCAGACGUGAAAUCCCUCAGCUUAACUGGGGAACUGCGUCUGAUACUGGAUGGCUUGAGUUUGGGAGAGGGAUGCGGAAUUCCAGGUGUAGCGGUGAAAUGCGUAGAUAUCUGGAGGAACACCGGUGGCGAAGGCGGCAUCCUGGACCAACACUGACACUGAGGAGCGAAAGCCAGGGGAGCAAACGGG
rnacentral:rRNA from 1 species